rnacentral:rRNA from 1 species
AGCAUUAUUAGUAUUAGAGGCACUGCCUGCCCAGUGACAAACGUUUAACGGCCGCGGUAUCCUGACCGUGCAAAGGUAGCAUAAUCACUUGUUCCUUAAUUAGGGACUAGCAUGAAUGGCAACACGAGGGUUUAACUGUCUCUUCCUUCCAAUCAGUGAAAUUGACCUCCCCGUGAAGAGGCGGGGAUAAAGCAAUAAGACGAGAAGACCCUAUGGAGCUUUAAUUAUUUAAUUCAAUAUUUUCGCAAAUCCACUCCACAGGAGCCUAACCAAGAAAAUUUAUGAAUUAAAAAUUUUGGUUGGGGUGACCUCGGAGCAAAAAUCAACCUCCGAAUGAUUUAAGCCUAGACUCAACAAGUCAAAGCAUCAAAGAUCAUAAAUUGACCCAAAUUCUUUUUGAUCAACGGAACAAGUUACCCUAGGGAUAACAGCGCAAUCCUAUUCUAGAGUCCCCAUCGACAAUAGGGU